GACGAACGCUGGCGGCGUGCCUAAUACAUGCAAGUCGAGCGCAGGAAACUGACGGAACUCUUCGGAGGGAAGGCAGUGGAAUGAGCGGCGGACGGGUGAGUAACACGUAAGGAACCUGCCUCAAGGAUUGGGAUAACUCCGAGAAAUCGGAGCUAAUACCGGAUAGUUCAACGGACCGCAUGGUCCGCUGAUGAAAGGCGCUCCGGCGUCACCUUGAGAUGGCCUUGCGGUGCAUUAGCUAGUUGGUGGGGUAACGGCCCACCAAGGCGACGAUGCAUAGCCGACCUGAGAGGGUGAUCGGCCACACUGGGACUGAGACACGGCCCGAACUCCUACGGGAGGCAGCAGUAGGGAAUCUUCCACAAUGGACGAAAGUCUGAUGGAGCAACGCCGCGUGAGUGAUGAAGGUUUUCGGAUCGUAAAACUCUGUUGUAAGGGAAGAACACGUACGAGAGGAAAUGCUCGUACCUUGACGGUACCCUACGAGAAAGCCACGGCUAACUACGUGCCAGCAGCCGCCGUAACAC
rnacentral:rRNA from 1 species